GGAGAGGAGUAGACAUUAUGUAAAUGACAGAGCGGAAGGAGGAUUGGCGUGAGAGAGGUCACUGGCAAGGACGCAGAGACUCACCAGCCCUUCUGCCCACAGUGAUCCUUUCUGUGACUGAACGUUGAUGAGUUCCAUCUUGUGCCGGCCUUGUGUGACAAUCACAGCUGCUGAGAGUUCAAGGGUGCAAUGGCAUGGUAAACAUCUGCAAUGGUAAACAUCUGGGAAAAAGCAUUCCAAGGCAUUUCACCUUUUCCUCCAGCUCGUACACACUCUUUCUAUCUCCUGCCCUGUGAUGUUCCUGGAGUAUUAUGGUGUGUGUGUGUGUGUGUGUGUGUGUGUGUGUGUGUGUUUAUUGCUACAUUUAGGGCUCACUUUUUUAACAGUCAGUUAUUCUCAGCCCUUUGACAGCUUAUGGUAACUAUCACUGCUACCACCUUUCUUACCAUCACAAUAGUCAUCACCAUCGUCACCACCAUCAUCAUUAUCUGCCUGUCAACGUGAUCACCAGCUCUCCCAUUACUGUCACCACCAUCGUCCCCUCUCACCAUUAUCAAUGCCACCAUCAUCCUGACUAUAGUAGGAUACUAUAGUCACCACCACCAUCACCACCACCUUUGCACUGGCUAGUUCUCAUGUCAACUUGACAUAAGCUAUGGUCAGUCAUUAGUGGGAAGGAGCCUUGAUUGAGAAAAUGCCCUUGUAAGGCUGGGGUGUAGGCGACCCUGUAGGGCAUUUUCUUACAGAAGACUACACAGUAUGAACAGAAAUGAAGCUGCAAAGAAGACUCCGAGACCAGACCAGCUUGCCUAGACAAGGGAGAAUCCAGAUGCGCUGCCUGGAAGAGGCUUAGGCUGGACAGAAGCACUAGCCUAGGAACAGCUUCGCUCUCCUGUUCUGAGCCCCAUGCGGAUGCAGAGCACAGGUGGCCAGCGUAUUUUCACAUGCUGCUCUGCCCUGGACCUUGGAUCACACCCUCGCUACCCUUCCAUCAUAAUAUGGCUUCCUCUUCGUGCUCGGUCGUUUCCAGUUGAUUCUAGAAGGUUUCCUGGGUUUUUCUGCAGGUGUUCGUGCAGCUGAUGGAGUAGACAGUUAUUCUUCCCCCUUAAUUUGUUUAGCUCUUCGUGCAGUAGAUUUCAUACUAUGUGUAUAUAUUUUAAAAGGUUUAUUUGUUUUGGC
rnacentral:lncRNA from 1 species